CCUACGGGAGGCAGCAGUGGGGAAUAUUGGGCAAUGGGCGCAAGCCUGACCCAGCAACGCCGCGUGAAGGAAGAAGGCUUUCGGGUUGUAAACUUCUUUUCUUAGGGACGAAGCACGUGACGGUACCUGAGGAAUAAGCCACGCCUAACUACGUGCCAGCAGCCGCGGUAAUACGUAGGUGGCAAGCGUUAUCCGGAUUUACUGGGUGUAAAGGGCGUGUAGGCGGGAAGGCAAGUCAGAUGUGAAAACCAUGGGCUCAACCUGUGGCCUGCAGUGGAAACUGGUUUUCUUGAGUACUGGGGAGGCAGACGGAAUUCGUCGUGUAGCGGUGAAAUGCGUAGAUAUGAGGAGGAACACCAGUGGCGAAGGCAGUCUGCUGGACAGCAACUGACGCUGAGGCGCGAAAGCGUGGGGAGCAAACAGGAUUAGAUACCCCGGUAGUC
rnacentral:rRNA from 1 species